rnacentral:lncRNA from 1 species
AUAUCAUAAGUACAUAUGUAUAUAUAUAAAUGUUUCAUUCAUUUCUCUUAUUUUUUAUUGAAAACGAUUUGUAUUGCAACUGAUUGCAGGUCUGGAACUACGAGCAUACUUUUCCAGAGAGAGUCCUUGUUGGCUCAAGUUGAGACCGUAGCGCAAGCUCAUCAAAGAAGGAGGUGUGGCCUUUGUAAGCCUAUUUUACAUCUACAAGGCACUAAAGCUUCAACUUUUCUGGUCAUUGUACCAUUCCGAGGGACUUUGGGCAAGAUUCCUGCAGGCCAAGUACUCUGACAAUCUCUCUUUUGCUGCUGCUAGACAUAAACCAGGUUGUUCCAAGAAUUGGCAUGAAAUGCUUGAGAUACGAUCUUCAUUUUAUUACAAUACUCAUUUCUGGUUGGCAGCGGGUAACUACUUUCUUCACAUCUAAUUGGUCUGGGAUA